rnacentral:rRNA from 1 species
GAUGAACGCUGGCGGCGUGCCUAAUACAUGCAAGUCGAGCGAACAGACGAGGAGCUUGCUCCUUUGACGUUAGCGGCGGACGUGUGAGUAACACGUUGGUAACCUACCUAUAAGACUGGGAUAACUUCGGGAAACCGGAGCUAAUACCGUAUAAUAUUUCGAACCGCAUGGUUCGAUAGUGAAAGAUGGCUCUGCUAUCACUUAUAGAUGGACCUGCGCCGUAUUAGCUAGUUGGUAAGGUAACGGCUUACCAAGGCAACGAUACGUAGCCGACCUGAGAGGGUGAUCGCCCACACUGGAACUGAGACACGGUCCAGACUCCUACGGGAGGCAGAAGUAGGGAAUCUUCCGCAAUGGGCGAAAGCCUGACGGAGAAACGCCGCGUGAGUGAUGAAGGUCUUCGGAUCGUAAAACUCUGUUAUUAGGGAAGACCAAACGUGUAAGUAACUGUGCACGUCUUGACGGUACCUAAUCAGAAAGCCACGGCUAACUACGUG